CUCUUUUAACUAACGGGACGACCUCGACGCGACCCCAGGUCAGGCGGGAUUACCCGCUGAAUUUAAGCAUAUCAAUAAGCGGAGGAA
rnacentral:rRNA from 1 species